UUAAACUAUUGGCGAGAUCAUGUUUUGGCCAUCGAACUAUUUUUUGUCAAUAAUUGGCCACUAAACAAUUUAAUCCGUUAAUUCGUGACCAUUUCGUCGUUAAUUGCUCUUAAGUUCUGAAAUUAGCAUUACACGUCGUGACCAUUUCGUCGUUAAUUGCUCUUAAGUUCUGAAAUUAGCAUUACACGUGACAAUGUCCGGGCAAUUUUGUCCAGCAAUUUACUGACCCUAAAAGUCCAAUACGGCUAAUUUCAGAAAUGUAGAGGAGUUGAUGGACCUUCAGCAUCUUCCACCGAGUCGCCAGCCAAACCCCAAGUCGCAUCCCUCAGCGUUCCUCGCACCGCUGCCAGAGGAACCGCCACCACCCGCCGGAAGGCCACCGUGACGGUCCAAGAAGAUGAAUCCGAAACUACUUCACACCCUUCCACCAGGACUCGCCGUUCAACCAGAGGACUGCCGGUUGCUGCAGCCGGAGGAGACGUCCCCAAACUCCGCUCCCGCCUAAGCAAAUGAAAGAUACGCUUGCCUGCUUGCUUCGAAGAAAAGUUGAUAUCUAAUGCUUUCAAGCUGCAAAAGGUGAAGCAUCGAAGCAAAGCAAACCAAACUGCCCCAAAAUUCCCUAAAAAAGAUUCUUGCCACUUAUAACUAAUCUGAUGUACAUGAGAUAUUUGAUAUAUUGUUUGGGAGGGUGUCCUGAAAUAUUGGAGAUUUAAUUUUGAGAAGGGAGCCCAAGCUCAAGAGUUCAAGACUCCGACUUUCUCUAUUUCUCUCCCAUACGGCACUAGCUGUUGCCUGGAACUAGAAGAUAUGGGCACUUUGAGUACCAGUCCUCUGCUUCUAAAAGACCCAAGGCCUUCUUCACUCUACAGAGAACACCGAAGCUCUGUUCUUGUGUACACAACAAGAAGAAGAAAAUCCAAGAAAAGCCAAUCCUUGAACCCUGUUGCCAGGUUAUUUGGACCUGCUAUUUUUGAAGCAUAGAAGUUGCAGGUUGUUUUCUUAGGAGUUGACGAGGAGAAGCACCCAGGACAGCUACCUAGAGCCUAUACAUUUACGCAUAGUGAUGUAACCUCAAAGCUCACCGGACAAAAUUGCCCCCAACAUUGCCACGUGUAAUGCUAAUUUCAAAACUUAAGAGCAAUUAACGACG